rnacentral:rRNA from 1 species
CAGCAGUAGCCGCGGUAAUACGUAGGUGGCAAGCGUUGUCCGGAAUUAUUGGGCGUAAAGGGCUCGCAGGCGGUUUCUUAAGUCUGAUGUGAAAGCCCACGGCUCAACCGUGGAGGGUCAUUGGAAACUGGAAAACUUGAGUGCAGAAGAGGAAAGUGGAAUUCCAUGUGUAGCGGUGAAAUGCGCAGAGAUAUGGAGGAACGCCAGUGGCGAAGGCGACUUUCUGGUCUGUAACUGACGCUGAUGUGCGAAAGCGUGGGGAUCAAACAGGAUUAGAUACCCGAGUAGUCCCUGUCUCUUAUAC